UGGCCUGUGAUGAUAUCAGUUGAAAAAAUUACCAUCUUUCGGGACUGAAUGGCUUUGUCAAGCCUUGCUGUCAUUCUGCAAUUCUGAGGCCU